GCUUAGUUGGUAAAGCACAAAGCUCUUAACCUUGUGGACAUGGGUUCACGCCCCAU
rnacentral:tRNA from 1 species